CUACUUGUUGCUUGUUGGAAUCAUAUUUAUAUUAUAAAUACAAUAUUAAAAUAAUCCGUUUAUAUAGGUGAGGAUUGAAAAUAAGAGAUUAUGGCGUAUAUCAGACAUUGAGGUUGUUGUCAUACCUAAUUCAUAUUGAAGUAGUAAUCAAUUAUUGAAUUAUUAAAUAUUAAAGUUUCUAAAAUAAUUUCAUCAGUUUUUUUAGCUUUACAAAGAAAAUAUGUGGUGAAAAUGUGUAGUGAAAAAUGAGCGUGGUGGAUUUCCAGAUUUCUAACAUAGCUAAUGACAAUUUUUCAAUUUUUGUUAUAGGUUUAUGCCAGACUGUCAGAGAUACUCAACUUUUUGAACUCACGGCACCCUAAAGUGUUCUCUACAAAUCAGAUGGCACCCUAUAGUAGCGGUUCCCAAUCCAUGAGCCGCGAACCACGGUCGAGGGUAUAAUCCGAGGAUCGGUAAAUUCUACAUUAUUUAUAUUAUUCUAAUAUAAACAUCUAUAUUUCGAUCGAGAUUUAGUAGGUUAUAAUCACAAUUAUCGCUAUCGACCAUAUUAGUUGACGUCACGGAGCAUAUUGAUAAUGACAACCUUAUUACGGUUCAGUCCGUAAAAAAUACACUGAAAAAAUUCUAAUUUUUUUCCUAAGUUUAUUUCUUAACUUAACAACUAUUAAACACGUAUUUUUUACAAAUAUUUAGUUAUAUUUGUACAAAAAUAAUACACAUAAAUAUUGUUUUUUUCGCUCCAAUUGUUAUUAUCACAUCAGGU